rnacentral:rRNA from 1 species
AACGAACGCUGGCGGCAUGCCUAACACAUGCCAGUCGAACGAGACCUUCGGGUCUAGUGGCGCACGGGUGCGUAACGCGUGGGAACCUGCCCUUAGGUUCGGAAUAACUCCCCGAAAGGGGUGCUAAUACCGGAUAAUGUCUUCGGACCAAAGAUUUAUCGCCUUUGGAUGGGCCCGCGUUGGAUUAGCUAGUUGGUAGGGUAAAAGCCUACCAAGGCGACGAUCCAUGGCUGGUCUGAGAGGAUGAUCAGCCACACUGGGACUGAGACACGGCCCAGACUCCUACGGGAGGCAGCAGUGGGGAAUAUUGGACAAUGGGCGAAAGCCUGAUCCAGCAAUGCCGCGUGAGUGAUGAAGGCCUUAGGGUUGUAAAGCUGUUUUACCCGGGAUGAUAAUGACAGUACCGGGAGAAUAAGCGCCGGCUAACUCCGUG